CUUAUUCCACCGGAGCCAUGCUUCAUCACCGGAGGAGCAGCCCAUGUCAUCACAGACCCGUUACCUGCCGUCACAUCCGUUACGUACCGGAUCUGCGAAAUGGAGAGCAUGAGCAGAGGGAGAGAAAGGCGUUCGAGGCGGAGCCGCACGUUCCCCACCACCACCGGUCUUAGAUCUGUACCGCCGUGAUCCCUUGGCCACCGUAGUUGAUCCAUAUUGUCGGAGAGCCAGCAAUGCUACGUCGUUAACUUCUCGUAUCGGUUGGUGAUGUGGAGCACGUGAUAAAUUAUGAUAAGUUCCUUAUUCCUAUUUUUCUUGUAUUACAAGUAACCGUUCUCAUCAUAAACCCUAUAAUUAUAUAUAUAUAUUAAUUAUGCCUUUGUCUUGUAUUAUUUAUAUGCGAUUUGAUGUGUCUUGGUGAGGAGUGGAGAUCCAUGGCGAAACCGUAGCUUUCUUGCUGAUAAAGUCAUUUUGUUUAUAGUCGGACUCGCUUCUGAUUCUGCCUUAUUGGCUAAGGUGAGGGUCUAUUCCGUAAAUCCCGUACCAGUGUAGAAUUCUCUCUAUCGUAGUUUAGAUUUCGAAUCAUGAUCCGUCUGUUUGAAUUGAGUCUUGAUUGUUAGCUAGUUCAUUUAUUGUAAACUGGAACUAGGGGUCUAGAGAAUUCAACCUUUGAUUGGAUUGUGUGAUGUUAAGAGAUGCGAUAUAUAUAUAUGUAUACAUAGUUAAUAGUAGGGACUAUGUGCGCGGGCGGGGGCUCAGAGAUGUCUGGGCUAGCGACGCUACUUUGGUUGUGCGGGCAGGGGUUCAGAGACGUCUGGACUUGCGAUGCUACUUGUGCGGGCGUGUGGUGCAGAGACGUUUGUAUCAUGGACGCUACUUGAGAGGGCGGGGGUACAGAGACAUACUGUACUAGCGACGCUACGUAUUAUAUAUCCAUAUGAGGAGAUGCGGAGUGUAUGGACUAGCUUUAUGCUAUCAUCGCAUUGUUUGGUUUGUGUGACGCGCUAGGCGUCGUGUGUGUUCAUGUUAGAGCUAAACUUCCAUAGUGGGAGUUCUAUUUACUCCAGUCCGUGGUUUGCGUGUUUAGCAUCCCCAUACCUCACGGAGUAACUCCCCUGUUACUCACCCCUCCUAUUCCUUUCCCCUUUCAGUUGAGACUGACGAGCAGGAGUGAUUGCUAUCGGAUUGGUGCUUUGGGAGUUCUAUUUCUUUUAUUUUCAGACUUUCGAUUUUAUGAUUUCAUCGAUAUUUCAGGAUUUAUCUCUUUUAUUGCAUUUAUGGUUAUUUAUUGGAUUUAUGACUUUGGAGUUGACUUUUGAGAAGUAAUAAAUGGAGAUUUCAGACUUUUUAUUUAUUUAAGUUAUUUUGGAAAAUACGGGUGUUACAAUUUGGUAUCAGAGCGGGGUUCCGUCCCGGCUCUGACCCGGGACGGCGAUUUAUGGGACUAAGAUUUCAAUGAUUUUCAAUGUUUUGGAAUUGGGGGUUAAAAAAAAAAAAUUUUGACACCAAGAAGUCCAGUAUCUUUCGGUUAGUUGUUAGUGUUUCUAACUCUUUUAUUUUUGCAGGAGAAGACCAAAUUUCAAUUCGUUUCCAUUGUUUGAUUUAUCUUGUGUUUUUCUUUUCUUCGUAGUCGUUGAAGUUCGUUUCGGGUUCUAUCUAGAAUUCGGGACGAAUUCCGAUUAAGUGGGGAAGAAUUGUAACGACCGUAACCCGGUUUCUCUUUAAACCGAUAGUGGUUUAAUUCAAAUAAUAAUUAAUUAUCUAUAAAACCAAAAGCUAACCAUUUUAAUUCCUAACCCUAACCGUAUAUUCUUGUACACGUAUUUAUAUAUGUUGUACUCUUCGUUAAAAAGCCAGCCACCAUUAUUUUAGAUCGAGCCAGAGCUGAUGCCAUUGUGUUUGUCCACCUCUAAUCAUCACUCUCGUCUCCAUCUCUUUCCUCCUUUAUUCCCGUGUUCUUCUUCUCCCUCUUUAUGAAGCUGUGCGUUGUUGUUUGGAGAUGCGAGACGCAAGCACCACCACCACCGUGAACCAUCUCACCUUAUUCCACCGGAGCCAUGCUUCAUCACCGGAGGAGCAGCCCAUGUCAUCACAGACCCGUUACCUGCCGUCACAUCCGUUACGUACCGGAUCUGCGAAAUGGAGAGCAUGAGCAGAGGGAGAGAAAGGCGUUCGAGGCGGAGCCGCACGUUCCCCACCACCACCGGUCUUAGAUCUGUACCGCCGUGAUCCCUUGGCCACCGUAGUUGAUCCAUAUUGUCGGAGAGCCAGCAAUGCUACGUCGUUAACUUCUCGUAUCGGUUGGUGAUGUGGAGCACGUGAUAAAUUAUGAUAAGUUCCUUAUUCCUAUUUUUCUUGUAUUACAAGUAACCGUUCUCAUCAUAAACCCUAUAAUUAUAUAUAUAUAUUAAUUAUGCCUUUGUCUUGUAUUAUUUAUAUGCGAUUUGAUGUGUCUUGGUGAGGAGUGGAGAUCCAUGGCGAAACCGUAGCUUUCUUGCUGAUAAAGUCAUUUUGUUUAUAGUCGGACUCGCUUCUGAUUCUGCCUUAUUGGCUAAGUUGAGACUGACGAGCAGGAGUGAUUGCUAUCGGAUUGGUGCUUUGGGAGUUCUAUUUCUUUUAUUUUCAGACUUUCGAUUUUAUGAUUUCAUCGAUAUUUCAGGAUUUAUCUCUUUUAUUGCAUUUAUGGUUAUUUAUUGGAUUUAUGACUUUGGAGUUGACUUUUGAGAAGUAAUAAAUGGAGAUUUCAGACUUUUUAUUUA